rnacentral:rRNA from 1 species
GCCUAUACCCGAAAGGCACCAGAUCCCAUCUGAUCUUGGAAGCUAAGCAGUUCAGUCCCAUUUAAUAUUUGGAUGGGAUACUGCCAACAAAUAGCAGGUGCUGUGGGCU